rnacentral:rRNA from 1 species
CCUACGGGGGGCAGCAGUGAGGAAUAUUGGUCAAUGGGCUUACGCCUGAACCAGCCAAGUCGCGUGAGGGAAGACUGCCCUAUGGGUUGUAAACCUCUUUUGUCAGGGAGCAAUUGGCGCUACGUGUAGCGUUAUCGAGAGUACCUGAAGAAAAAGCAUCGGCUACCUCCGUGCCAGCCGCCGCGGUAUUACGGGGGAUGGGAGUGUUAUCCGGAUUUUUUGGGUUUAAGGGGUGCGUAGGCGGAAUGCCAAGUCAGCGGUAAAAUCGCGGGGCACAACCUCGCUCCGCCGUUGAAACUGGCGUUCUUGAGUGGGCGAGAAGUAUGCGGAAUGCGUGGUGUAGCGGUGAAAUGCAUAGAUAUCACGCAGAACUCCGAUUGCGAAGGCAGCAUACCGGCGCCCAACUGACGCUGAAGCACGAAAGCGUGGGUAUCGAACAGGAUUAGAUACCCUGUAGUC